UUCCCACCUGCCUUGUGUUGAAAGACAAGGGUCCCUUACGGCAUUAACAAAAGGAAGGCAAGAAUGGGACGUCUGAUCCACAAGAUGACCUGCGCCUUUGUCACCUUCAUGCAGGUUAACUUAGAAGACAAAGGAGUUUUGGCUAAGCUGGUGGAAGCUACCAAGACCAAUUACAACAACAAAUAUGAUGAGAUCCAUCAUCACGGGGGAAGCAAUGUCCCAGGCCCAAAAUCCAUGGCUCACAUUGCCAAGCUGGAAAUGGCAAAGGGUACAGAUUUGCCACUAAGCUGAAUUAAA
rnacentral:lncRNA from 1 species